rfam:Felis catus isolate Cinnamon breed Abyssinian chromosome E2, whole genome shotgun sequence.
GCCUGGGUGGCUCAGUCGGUUGAGCGUCUGACUUCAGCUCACGUCACGAUCUCACGGUCCGUGAGUUCGAGCCCCGCGUCGGGCU